CAGAAAUCUUCGUUACCUUGUACUAAUAAAUGAUUGGUGUGGCAACUAAUGGAUCCUGAAUUUUGGAUUAAAAACAUCACCAUUCUAUGUGAGAUUUGGACUUCAGUGGAAAUUUGCUUGUUUUGUUUCUGAACUAUAUACACGAUACUUAGCUUCAUUUAACAUCACACAAGAUGUUUGUUCAGUAACAUGGGGCUUCUCAUGUGAAUUUGUCAGAAUCAUGUUCUUAUGUGUUUUUCACUCAAUUGGUUUUUCAGACUGAUUUCAACUGAGCAGAGAUAGAAUUUGGCAUUAGAGAUUUCUUUUUUGAAUUACUAUGCUGGUUUGGAAGUGGAAUUGAAUUUUCAAUUCCCACUGUAUCAUUUGGUGAAACGUUUAUUUUGAACUCUAAUACUUGUCAUAUAUUUUGAUUUUAGGAUCAAAACCUCCAAUGUAGUAUUUGGUAGUGAGGAAUAUGAAGUGUUCUGGUUAUCAAAGUUCAGAACAUGAAGUUCCCUGGUCAUCCCUUUUGUACUAGUGGAGCCCAUGUUUGGCAAUCCAGAUAAUUGGUAUGAAGGGCCGCAUCAUGGUUGGGGUAUGCCUUUAAAACUUUUCAGAUCAGACAAUUCUCGCCAUCCCUCUUGUUAUGGACCCUUGUUUUGUUCGCUACCAAACCUUUUGUUUGUGAGCUACUGAUAUAAGGGUUAGAAUUGUUUGACUGUGGAGAUUUUUUAGUCAUCACCCAUCCAUUGAAGUUCCUUAGAUUAGUGGUCAGGAUCCCAAAACCAUGGGCCAUAAAUGUACAAACUGGCUAUAAAUUAAGCAAAUCUUGAUAUUGAUAGUACUUAAUUUUAAUGGUGAUGAAAUUUUAGCUUAUUUGUUCCUUAUGUAUUGAAGUAUCCGCCUAUCAGUUAUAGUGAUUGAACUACAGUUUUACGAUUUCUUGUUAUCUGUUACUUUUUGCUGCCCCAAACGACCUCAGAAUUCUAAACAUUACAGGUAGAAGAGAAGGUGAGUGUCACUACUAUGGAUUGCAAGAUAAGUCGAACUAGUUUUACGAAGCGCCAGCAUAUGCUCUCUUGCUUGCCUGGCCUCUUUAAUACUGUCUGCCUUAUAUUUCGAUCUGUCAACUAUUCCUCAAUUACAAAACAGGAGCUUGUUCAUAAAAUACUCUUGCAUAAUUGUGAUAUCAAUGAGACAGGAGAAGUUGAAGAACAAUUAAAGCUACUAGAAGAGUUGGUUCCAGAUUGGAUUUGUGGAAAGAUGGUGUCUAGUGGGGAUUUUCUCUACUGGGACACUUACCGAAAAAGGGAAAGACUACGACUUGCAGUAGUACCAGGGAAAAUUUUCACACCAAUUGAAUAGUUCUUUUAUUAUGUUUUGAGAUUAUUGUGUUCUUAAUUAGAUGUGGUAUACAAAUGAUGCAAUGUAUUGUGUUAAAUAGUAAAUUUUAUUUGUAGAACGUGUAGAAGUUCUUCUUACUAGUAUCCGUGGGGUUACUGUUGCUAGAGGAAUUGUCUUGAGUAAAGAUCCGCUCAUAAAAGUAGGCAGGUUCCCACUUGGAAAUGGUUUUUGGGAAGUAUAUAUUCAGGUGGCAAUUGUACGUGAAGAGACUUUAAUGAGACCCUAUGGACGAUACAGAACAAUUGGGGAUGCAACUAGAACAAGUAUUUGUUGGCCCGAUUGUUGUUAUUUGGUUGUGACAGCUAUGGAUUGAGCUAAAUGGAGGGAUCUCUCUCUCUCUCUCUAUUUUUUAUUAUUAUUUUAUUAUUUUUUGUUAUUUUUGAAUGCUGAGAAUUUUCAAACUUGAUUGGAAUCAAUAAUAGUUCCUAAGAUUUGUUGUUUGGAAAAUUUGACUCUUUUAUUCGUUGGAAAUUAGUCAUCAUCUUGGCCUGUGGUAAAGUCCACAUUAAUGUGAAAAAUAGGCAUUGUUACUUGCUAAUGGCGGCAACAUUCUUUCUUUCUUUUUCCUUUUUCCUUUUUUCCCUUUUUGUCAAGCUGAAAACUGUGAAAUGAAAUCAUCAAGUAAAAGAG